AUGCUUCCCUUGCUCAUUGGGUCACCCUAUCCACCCUGACAUGCACCACAGGCCCCAGGCCUUGGAACCAGGCCCAGCCUUGGCCUUUCCUGCCCCCAUUUCACCUUGAGUUCUCAGAAUGAGCCCUGAGCCUCUGUCCCCUGGAGUGUGGGCCUCAGUCCCAUGUUGGGAGCAGGACAGGCUGACCAGGCUGUCCCCAUCCUCCAGGGGGGCAUGUGCUCCGUGUACCUGAAGGACAGUGAGAAGGUUGUCAGCAUUUCCAGUGAGCACCUGGAGCCCAUCACCCCCACCAAGAACAACAAGGUGAAAGUGAUCCUGGGUGAGGAUCGGGAAGCCACGGGCGUCCUGCUGAGCAUUGAUGGUGAGGAUGGCAUUGUCCGUAUGGACCUUGAUGAGCAGCUCAAGAUCCUCAACCUCCGCUUCCUGGGGAAGCUCCUGGAAGCCUGAAGCAGGCAGGGCCGGUGGACUUCGGCAGAUGAAGAGUGAUCCUCCUUCCUUCCCUGGCCCUUGGCUGUGACACAAGAUCCUGCUGCAGGGCUAGGCCCAUCGUUCUGGAUUUCCUUUUGUUUUUCUUUUUAGUUUUCCAUCUUUUCCCUCCCUGGUGCUCAUUGGAAUCUGAGUAGAGUCUGGGGGAGGGUCCCCACCUUCCUGUACCUCCUCCCCACAGCUUGCUUUUGUUGUACCGUCUUUCAAUAAAAAGAAGCUGUUUGGUCUAAAA
rnacentral:sRNA from 1 species